GAGGUUAAGCGACUAAGCGUACACGGUGGAUGCCCUGGCAGUCAGAGGCGAUGAAGGACGUGCUAAUCUGCGAUAAGCGCCGGUAAGGUGAUAUGAACCGUUAUAACCGGCGAUUUCCGAAUGGGGAAACCCAGUGUGACUCGUCACACUAUCAUUAACUGAAUCCAUAGGUUAAUGAGGCGAACCGGGGGAACUGAAACAUCUAAGUACCCCGAGGAAAAGAAAUCAACCGAGAUUCCCCCAGUAGCGGCGAGCGAACGGGGAGGAGCCCAGAGCCUGAAUCAGCAUGUGUGUUAGUGGAAGCGUCUGGAAAGGCGCGCGAUACAGGGUGACAGCCCCGUACACAAAAGCGCAUGUGCUGUGAGCUCGAUGAGUAGGGCGGGACACGUGGUAUCCUGUCUGAAUAUGGGGGGACCAUCCUCCAAGGCUAAAUACUCCUGACUGACCGAUAGUGAACCAGUACCGUGAGGGAAAGGCGAAAAGAACCCCGGCGAGGGGAGUGAAAAAGAACCUGAAACCGUGUACGUACAAGCAGUGGGAGCACCCUUUGGGGUGUGACUGCGUACCUUUUGUAUAAUGGGUCAGCGACUUAUAUUCUG
rnacentral:rRNA from 1 species